CAGAGAGGAAGAGGCGAAGCGAGAGGGAUAACUGGGACCAAAAUCUGUUGCCGGUUUUUCGUUCACCAAGCGAGGAAUUGUGUAUGGAGUCUGCAGAUGCAGAGGCUGCAGGUCCUGGAGUCGAGCAGGAGAGGCCUAGAGGAGAGGAGGACCCACGGCACAGCAGAGACUUCGAGGCUGGAAUACCCCCUGUAGCCAUGGAGGACCACACCACUGCCCCAGCGCAGCCCAGGACCUGCCAUAACAUCAUGGAGGAACAGGAGGGUCUAUCUCUACCAGGCCCUGCUUCAUCCCUGCACUGAGACUGUGAAGAGAAGGGUCUGGGCUGCAGACUGGAUCCCUGACUGGAGCCUCUGUCUCUCUGAUGACCACCAGGACUGAGGUUGUUCAGUCCACCUGUCCACUGGUUGUGUUCUGUGUCGUGGUUGUGGUGGAGUCUUUGUUCCUCG